GCACACCCAGACCAGGGACGUCAGCACGAUACUGCACACCACGGCGAUGGUGAAGAUGCCCACAGUGGUGCCGUCCUUCCUGCACCCCGGAGUGGGCAGGACGCUCAGAUGGCUGUGAGCACGCUCGGUGCCCAGGGCGUUGGACAUCUCGCAGGUGUACCGGCCUGCAUCUUCCACCACCACGUUCUGAACGACCAGCAGCUGGUUGCCGGGGGUGAAGUGGUGCCGCUCGCCAAACUUGGAUCCCAACCACCCCUGGUCCAAAAGAUGGCAAGACCUACAUGCCAACAGUCGGGAGGAAGAAAGAAUUUAAAGCUACCAGUGCCGAUUCCAGUGCUUUGGAGACACAGCAAGAGCACAGGUCAACAUGAAGGAAUUCUUUUUACUACAGCAGCUGUUCUCCUGAGACUCCUUCUUCCUGUAUUUAACCUUUCAUUCUUGGGGCUGGAAAGAAACACACAGGAAAACCCCAGCCUCCUAUGCUGAGUAAAUUCACAGCUAAAUCCGGGCACCAGCGCUGGCUUGAAACAACACAGCCAUCUUCCUGUAACUGAUUAUUUGCCGUGUAACUGAAGCAGCUCGUGCUUGCUCCUGAUUAAACGCACGCACUCCAAGAACCACAUAAUGAGGCGACGGCACCGUAAACACUACGUGUGGUUUCAGUGGGAAAUAAAUUGUAUCCAGCAGCUGAUGCGUAACCAUGGGCUAGGGCUAGGGUUGACUCUGAUCACAGGAAUCACUCCCAUAGUGAAGCCUCCUGGCCUCCUUACCCUUUGUGGACAAUAAAAAAAACCCACAAAGACAGUCUUACCACACACGAAACUCUCUGGCGGCACGGCAAAGAUGCUCUGGCCCUUCAGCGACUCGGGGUGGGCACAGGUGGCUGUCACGAAGCCCUGCAGCGUCCUGCUCAGCAGCCACGGGGGCAGCCACUUCAGCUGGCAGUCGCACAGGAAGCUGUCGCUGCUGAUAUGGCUGAAAGCAAGACAAAAGGGUCGUGUGAAGUGUGACCGCAAAGAAGGGAUAUCUGCCUCUGUGCCCCGAAUGACCCAUCGCCUCCGAUCAGCUUGUGCCGUGAAAAGUCAGCAAGCUUGAAUGGGAGAUGCUCUUUCUUACGGCUCCUCUCCUGCGACCUAGAGCGCAACUGAGGAUCAGCUUUUUCAACAGAAAUCGGAAUCGCCAUCUCUGCGGACAUUCCUUCCUGAGGAGUCACUCGAAGAUAAGUCAGCUGAGGGGCUGAGCUGCCGUGUUCCUGGAAGACCUCGGGCUGUGAGCUCAAGAGCGGAGGUUAGCCCGGCACGGGGAUGGACACAGGACUUAUUACGUGCGCUUCCCUGGAAUAAACUGUCCCCGGUACGUGGUGACAAAAAAGGGGUACCGGGAUGCUCUGAAAUUCCAAAAAUGUCACAUGGGCCAGUGAUAGAGCAAUGGCCUCCCCCCCCCCCACCACCAUAUUCCUCAGGCCCCU